UUUAUAUGUUAAAGAAAUAGUUUUUAUGUGCCUUUCUAUAGAUUUCCAAGAGCAAAAGAUAGAUU
rfam:Monodelphis domestica chromosome 6, whole genome shotgun sequence.